UUGCCUCUUCGUCCUGCCUCCUGCGACCCCCGCCCCCUCUACCUGUUGCGCCUGCACCCCUCGCUUGUGAAAAAGGAAAGAAGAAAUCUCGCUCGUCACAAUCCCACAAUCCUGCAGACCCGCACCACUGGCGCCCCCUGCGGCAUCACAUCACGCCUCCGCCGCCUGCGGCCGCCCUGCGCACCCACGACCACCCUACGCACUGCCCGCCGCCGCCCGCUCUCGGAUCCCCCUCCUGAGAUCGCUCGCCCCCGUGCGGCCGUGUCUCUCGCCCCCCUCGCAAGAUCCCUCGCCCCCGUGUGGUCGUGCCCCUCGCCGUGCGCUACCGCGUGCCUCUCCCCGCGGUCACCCAUGCUGGCACCUCUUCUCCCUCACCGUCGUUCCCCUUGCGGAAUGGAUGAGCCCCCGCGACCGCGAUCCCAAAGCGCCGCCAUCCGGAGAAGCCAAGCCUGAAUGUCGUCGCGUCCUCUCCCUCCCUAUCGCAUCCGAUCCGUGCCAUUGUCGCCCUUGCCGUUGCCCUCGCCGAACGGAUGAGCUCCGUCACUGCCCCAAGCACUGGCGGACAUGCCUCCAUUGGUUGCAUCUCAAGCUCUGCCCCAUCCCCAGCCGAUGCCACCUAGAUUGAGAUGCUGCUCUCAUGAAGCGGGAGGAGGAGCCCGUGACGUGGAUCUAAAGUUUGUGAUGCCAGAGCUGCUUGUGAAAUCACUGCUCUCUCUCUCUCUCUCUCUAUAUAUAUAUAUAUAUAUAUAUAUAUCUUCUCCUAUUUUUGUUUCCCUCAGAUUUCCCUAAUUAAUUUGGUUCCUCAACUAGGGUUUGGAUAGUGGUUGCUAAUGAUUGCAUUGCACGACAUGGCAGGUUCGUUCCUGGCACCAAUAUUGAGGAAGAGACUGAUCUAUCAAUGAACUGAUAGAGCUUUGCAUGUUGGUGAUCUUUUGGAAUGGGACAGAUCUGUUUAUGUUCAUUGUGUGCAAGUAUUUGGUUAUCUUCUGGAAGGUUUUACCGGUUAACAAUUAUUUUUUCUUAGAUAACAGUUGUAUCACCAUUCCCUGUUCACAGUUCAGAUGCAACUACUGAAAAGCAUCUUACAUUAUAUGCUCUGCAAAGUUUCCUCAAGUAAGUUGUUGGAUCGCAAAAGAGCAAGUACAUAACUGCAUAAUCCUGCACAUGACAGGAUUAUUCUGAAUUGUUCUAUUCUUUUGUUCUUAAUUAUCUGUAGUUCAUCUCAAUUGUGUUGACCAUUGCAAGGCUUGAAAAAACUUCAAUUUAAAUAAGGACAAAAACUUCUAAACUUUGUUAUGGCUCAGUAGCUUCUUUUUAUCACUUUAGAUUUUCACAUGGACAGUUAUGGUUGAGGCCUAUGAAUGACUAUGUGCACGUUCUGCCAACUAUUUCCUUAUUAUUCUCCUGAGACCUAUGAAUUAUGAAGCAUCCUUCUCAAAGACCUGAUAAUAUGUUUACUGGAACAAAUCAUCUAUUGAUACUCUCAAUUGUCUUAAUGUCUAGAUUUAGAUAUUUACAAAGCACUCUAAAUUUUACGAUAGUAAAAGAUUGGGAAUAUGAUUGAGCAACCAUACAUAACUAGCAGUUGCUAAUAUGCUUGGAGUAUUAUUUUUAUUACUCAGUGCUUAUGGCUGCAACUAAGUGACAAAUAACUUCUUGGUAUCGUGCUGAAUGAAUUCAGGCACGUAAGCUAAAAUCAUGCUUUUAUUCAUCUUAAAAUUUAAACAUGGGUCCAGCUGCAAUAUUGCUUUGCUUGUACUACGUUUUUGUAUGCCUAUAUGUUUGCUGAAAAUACAAGGUAACCAUACAGAAUUAGCAGUUACCUUGAUAAGGGGAUCUUCUAAUAAAUUUUAUGCUUGUGAAUGUUUUGUUAUGCUAUUAUCUUCAGAAUAUGGUUUUGCAAACUUAUAUGCUCAUAAACCAUCGUGAGAACAAGAGCACUGGAAUAUUGGUGUCCUUCUUCGAAUGUUUGUGAAUGCUUUGUUAUCCUAUUAUCUUCGAAUGUUGACUGAGUUUGUACCAUUUGUUCAUCUGAAAGCUAUAUAAACUUGCCCCUUUGCAUCCACAAUUUUUUGGCACUAUGCCAACACUUAGUGAAUUUAAUUGGUAGCAGGGGUGAGUGUGGCGGCAUGGAAAAAAUUAGUGCGACAUUAUUGGAGACAUAUUAUUACAACAACUUCUCAUUCAAGUGUCAUCGAUACAAUAAGUUCAACUUGGCUCUUGUUAUUAACAAUAUAAUGCAGAUUUGUUGCCUAUAACUUACUGAAGGUGUGCUGUUGUUGAUCCUAAAAAAGUGACAGGAUGCCGCUUGAGCCGUACGGGGAUGCCAAUGCAGUGGCCGGUGUUCCAUGGCGAGACUGGUGAAAAUGAUGAGUGGAGGCACAAUGAUUCCAGAUGGGUGGCAACUGCAUAGCUCAUGGUGGGAGCUGCUCGUGCUCCACUCUAUAGUCUAUACAUGGCCUCUGCAAUGAUGAUGGGUGAGUGCCUGAGUGGUGAAGACGACUUCUAUGGAGACAAUGCAGCCAGUUAUAUUGACACCUUGAAGAAAAACAUAAUGGUCCACACAUAAUGGACAGAGAGACGCUAAGUGCUGAUCAUUGAGAGCUUCAUUCGCUCUGCAACGGAGAAUGGUUAGAGCAAGUGUCUAGAGAUGGGCAGCAUGCGGCAAGAACCAAACUGCAUGUCCACACAUGUAUGUGCCUUGGUUCCGUUUUCUGUGGAUGUAAGUUUGACCAAAUUGACAUUGAAGUUUUUUUUAUCUUGGCAGAACAAGAGUGCCUUCAGGUUUUGAAGGGUGCUCAAGUCAUUAUUAAUAUAGAGACCAUAAGUCAGACUUUGAAGUAUUACUCUUGGAUGAGCCAUUGAAGCAAUUACACAAGUACUACUCUGAGAUGAGCCAUUUUUUCUUAUUUGAAAUAAAUUGGGUGAAUAAUUUAUUGGUAUAUUGGGCGAAUAAUUUUA